rnacentral:rRNA from 1 species
GGGUUGUGAGGUUAAGCGACUAAGCGUACACGGUGGAUGCCCUGGCAGUCAGAGGCGAUGAAGGACGUGCUAAUCUGCGAAAAGCGUCGGUAAGGUGAUAUGAACCGUUAUAGCCGGCGAUGUCCGAAUGGGGAAACCCAGUGCAAUUCGUUGCACUAUCGUUAACUGAAUACAUAGGUUAACGAGGCGAACCGGGGGAACUGAAACAUCUAAGUACCCCGAGGAAAAGAAAUCAACCGAGAUUCCCCCAGUAGCGGCGAGCGAACGGGGAGCAGCCCAGAGUCUGAAUCAGCUUGUGUGUUAGUGGAACGGUCUGGAAAGUCCGACGGUACAGGGUGAUAGUCCCGUACACCAAAAUGCACAGGCUGUGAACUCGAAGAGUAGGGCGGGACACGUGGUAUCCUGUCUGAAUAUGGGGGGACCAUCCUCCAAGGCUAAAUACUCCUGACUGACCGAUAGUGAACCAGUACCGUGAGGGAAAGGCGAAAAGAACCCCGGCGAGGGGAGUGAAAAAGAACCUGAAACCGUGUACGUACAAGCAGUGGGAGCACCUUCGGGUGUGACUGCGUACCUUUUGUAUAAUGGGUCAGCGACUUAUAUUCUGUAGCAAGGUUAACCGUAUAGGGGAGCCGCAGGAAACCGAGUCUUAACUGGGCGUUAAGUUGCAGGGUAUAGACCCGAAACCCGGUGAUCUAGCCAUGGGCAGGUUGAAGGUUGGGUAACACUAACUGGAGGACCGAACCGACUAAUGUUGAAAAAUUAGCGGAUGACUUGUGGCUGGGGGUGAAAGGCCAAUCAAACCGGGAGAUAGCUGGUUCUCCCCGAAAGCUAUUUAGGUAGCGCCUCGUGAAUUCAUCUUCGGGGGUAGAGCACUGUUUCGGCUAGGGGGUCAUCCCGACUUACCAACCCGAUGCAAACUACGAAUACCGAAGAAUGUUAUCACGGGAGACACACGGCGGGUGCUAACGUCCGUCGUGAAGAGGGAAACAACCCAGACCGCCAGCUAAGGUCCCAAAGUCAUGGUUAAGUGGGAAACGAUGUGGGAAGGCACAGACAGCCAGGAUGUUGGCUUAGAAGCAGCCAUCAUUUAAAGAAAGCGUAAUAGCUCACUGGUCGAGUCGGCCUGCGCGGAAGAUGUAACGGGGCUAAACCAUGCACCGAAGCUGCGGCAGCGACACUAUGUGUUGUUGGGUAGGGGAGCGUUCUGUAAGCCUGCGAAGGUGACCUGUGAGGGUUGCUGGAGGUAUCAGAAGUGCGAAUGCUGACAUAAGUAACGAUAAAGCGGGUGAAAAGCCCGCUCGCCGGAAGACCAAGGGUUCCUGUCCAACGUUAAUCGGGGCAGGGUGAGUCGACCCUAAGGCGAGGCCGAAAGGCGUAGUCGAUGGGAAACAGGUUAAUAUUCCUGUACUUGGUGUUACUGCGAAGGGGGGACGGAGAAGGCUAUGUUAGCCGGGCGACGGUUGUCCCGGUUUAAGCAUGUAGGCUGGUUAUCCAGGCAAAUCCGGAUAAUCAAGGCUGAGGUGUGAUGACGAGGCACUACGGUGCUGAAGUAACAAAUGCCCUGCUUCCAGGAAAAGCCUCUAAGCAUCAGGUAACAUCAAAUCGUACCCCAAACCGACACAGGUGGUCAGGUAGAGAAUACCAAGGCGCUUGAGAGAACUCGGGUGAAGGAACUAGGCAAAAUGGUGCCGUAACUUCGGGAGAAGGCACGCUGGUGUGUAGGUGAAGCCCCUGCGGGUGGAGCUGAGACCAGUCGAAGAUACCAGCUGGCUGCAACUGUUUAUUAAAAACACAGCACUGUGCAAACACGAAAGUGGACGUAUACGGUGUGACGCCUGCCCGGUGCCGGAAGGUUAAUUGAUGGGGUUAUCCGUAAGGAGAAGCUCUUGAUCGAAGCCCCGGUAAACGGCGGCCGUAACUAUAACGGUCCUAAGGUAGCGAAAUUCCUUGUCGGGUAAGUUCCGACCUGCACGAAUGGCGUAAUGAUGGCGAGGCUGUCUCCACCCGAGACUCAGUGAAAUUGAACUCGCUGUGAAGAUGCAGUGUACCCGCGGCAAGACGGAAAGACCCCGUGAACCUUUACUAUAGCUUGACACUGAACAUUGAGCCUUGAUGUGUAGGAUAGGUGGGAGGCUUUGAAGCGUGGACGCCAGUCUGCGUGGAGCCAACCUUGAAAUACCACCCUUUAAUGUUUGAUGUUCUAACGUUGGCCCCUGACCGGGGUUGCGGACAGUGUCUGGUGGGUAGUUUGACUGGGGCGGUCUCCUCCCAAAGCGUAACGGAGGAGCACGAAGGUUAGCUAAUCCUGGUCGGACAUCAGGAGGUUAGUGCAAUGGCAUAAGCUAGCUUGACUGCGAGCGUGACGGCGCGAGCAGGUGCGAAAGCAGGUCAUAGUGAUCCGGUGGUUCUGAAUGGAAGGGCCAUCGCUCAACGGAUAAAAGGUACUCCGGGGAUAACAGGCUGAUACCGCCCAAGAGUUCAUAUCGACGGCGGUGUUUGGCACCUCGAUGUCGGCUCAUCACAUCCCGGGCUGAAGUAGGUCCCAAGGGUAUGGCUGUUCGCCAUUUAAAGUGGUACGCGAGCUGGGUUUAGAACGUCGUGAGACAGUUCGGUCCCUAUCUGCCGUGGGCGCUGGAGAAUUGAGGGGGGCUGCUCCUAGUACGAGAGGACCGGAGUGGACGCAUCACUGGUGUUCGGGUUGUCAUGCCAAUGGCACUGCCCGGUAGCUAAAUGCGGAAGAGAUAAGUGCUGAAAGCAUCUAAGCACGAAACUUGCCCCGAGAUGAGUUCUCCCUGAGACUUUAAGUCUCCUGAAGGAACGUUAAAGACGAUGACGUUGAUAGGCCGGGUGUGUAAGCGCAGCGAUGCGUUGAGCUAACCGGUACUAAUGAACCGUGAGGCUUAACCUUACAACGCCGAAG